AUAGCCCAUAGUAAUGUUGCAGGUAUGGCUGCUGUGUCACAUGUGUGUCAGUAAGUGGCAGAAAGGAGAGGGGCUGUCUGUACUCGGUGUUCUGACCUAUGAAUAUCUGAAUGAUAGCCUAACACU
ensembl:snoRNA Gm22882 small nucleolar RNA SNORA17